rnacentral:lncRNA from 1 species
GACUAAGGAGCCGCAAGAGCGUUCCCUGAACCCUUCUCCACGGGGCCGUGAUUCUCGGCAGCGAGCCUCCAACUGUGGCAACCCUCGGUGGGAGGCAAGAUUCCUCUCAGAGACGAGAUGCUGAGGAAGAUGCUGAGAGACGCCUUGGGGGACCUUCUCAGAAGAGAAAAGCAAGCCCCGCUGGACCUUCCAGAAAGGCAGGAAUGAGGGGAAGGCAAUGAGGAAGUACAACCAGAAGUUGGGAUGAGUUGGCCUUGAGAUGGAAGAGAUUGGAG